AUUGAACGCUGGCGGCAGGCCUAACACAUGCAAGUCGAGCGACCGGCGGACGGGUGAGUAAUGUGUGGGAACCUGCCUGUUGGAGGGGGAUAACUACUGGAGACGGUAGUUCAUACUGCGUACAAUUAGAUGUGGCCCGAUGGGAUUAGUUAGUAGGGGGGGGAACGGCCCACCAAGGCGACGAUCCCUAGCUGGUCUGAGAGGAUGACCAGCCACACUGGAACUGAGACACGGUCCAGACUCCUACGGGAGGCAGCAGUGGGGAAGAUUGGACAAUGGGCGAAAGCCUGAUCCAGCCAUGCCGCGUGUGUGAAGAAGGCCUUCGGGUUGUAAAGCACUUUAAGCUGGGAGGCGUUACCCGCAGAAGAAGCACCGGCUAACUCCGUGCCAGCCGCCGCGGUAAUUC
rnacentral:rRNA from 1 species